GGGCCGCACGCGCGCUACACUGACGGAGCCAGCGAGUCUUAACCUUAGUCGAGAGGCUUGGGUAAUCUUGUGAAACUCCGUCGUGCUGGGGAUAGAGCAUUGCAAUUAUUGCUCUUCAACGAGGAAUUCCUAGUAAGCGCAAGUCAUCAGCUUGCGUUGAUUACGUCCC
rnacentral:rRNA from 1 species